GGGAGAUUAGCUUAGUUGGUAGAGCAAUCGGCUGUUAACCGAUAGGUCAUAGGUUCGAAUCCUAUAUCUCCCG
rnacentral:tRNA from 1 species